AGUUAUCCUCCAGGAUGUGGUUAGGCCUCAUCACAAAGGCCUUAAGAAGGAAAAAAACCAGAGGUCCCCUAAAGAGGAAUACAUUCUGCCUUCAGACCGACUUUGGACUUCAGCAGCAACACCAGCUCUUCCCUGGUCUCCAGCCUGUCUGCCUGCUGCGCAGACUUCAGCCUGGCCAGCCCUCAUAAUCAUGUCCUCAGCCUUAUUCCGGACCAUCAGUGCCCUUCUUCUUCCACCUGCCGCUCCAGGAGACUGGCCCCAUCAAAGUGGGUCAGUGCAGGCUCUCAUUUCAUCUGCACCCUACUGAUAAAACAGGUGGCACCAAGUGCUGAGCAGGUGCUAAGCAGGCUGUGGCUUAAGUUAUUACUCCUUAAAGAGUGACUAUUGAUGUUAUGGUGUCAAAGCCUUUGUACAAAUGUGUGACUAAGCUGAGGACCUCACAGUCAGGGCAGGUCCAUUCUCCUGCUAGUUGGGCUGGCCCCAAGUGAGCUACUCUGUUGGCCUGAGGACAAAGAAGCACAGUGGCUUUUCCCGAUGUCAUAGGAACAUCGGAGAAGUAAUCUAGAGGACCAGAUUGCUAGUUCUCUGGGGGGAGAAUGUCUCAUUUAUAUUGCAAUUUUUUAAAAAAAACAAAACAACAAAAAGCUUAAGAAUAACACAACAAACAGCUGUGUACAUACUCUGCAGUGUUAACAGAUGUAAUUUUUUUUCAUAAUUGCUUAAGAUCCUCUUUUAUGCAUUGCUGAUAUAUUUUAAAUUUCUUAAUUUCAAGAGCAGUACCAUUCCCCUCUCUCCCUCAUGGCCAACAACUAUCUUAAAUUUGAUGUGGUUCUAGUCCAUUCUCAUAUGCAUUCUUAAAUGAUUCAUACAAAUGGAAUAAUUCCAAUUGCAACCUGCUUCUUUUUUCCCACUCAAUAUGCUUCUGAGUUUCAGGUACAUCUAGGUCAUUCAUUUUAGCUAUUAUGUAUAAUACCCCAUCCUAUUCCAUAUAUAAUAUGGUAUUAGCUAUUAUAUAUUUUUAUAAUUAUACAUAUAUUUAUAUAAUUAGAUAUUUAGCUAUUAUGUUAUAUAUCAUGGUUUCUGUAGCCUCUCCCCUGUCAAUUGCUAUUGCAGCAUUUUUAACAAUGUUUUUACUACUGCAAACAAUGCUCGAAUGAGCUUCCUUUGACAUGUCUCUUGGCUUAAGAGUGUGAGGGCGUCCCAAGAGGAUAUACCUAGAAAUGGGAUUACAGAAUAUAGAUGUGCAUACUGAAAGUCACUAGAUAUUGUCAAAUCACUCAACAAAGUGAAUGCACCAAUCUACUUUCCUAUCCAAAAUGUAUAAGAAUUUGUACAUCAUCAACAACGUUUAGUUUUGCGUGAUUAAACUUUUU
rnacentral:lncRNA from 1 species